rnacentral:rRNA from 1 species
UACGUAGGGUGCGAGCGUUGUCCGGAAUUAUUGGGCGUAAAGAGCUCGUAGGCGGUGUGUCGCGUCGGCCGUGAAAACCUGGGGCUCAACUCUGGGCGUGCGGUCGAUACGGGCAUCACUGGAGUUCGGCAGGGGAGACUGGAAUUCCUGGUGUAGCGGUGAAAUGCGCAGAUAUCAGGGAGGGAACACCGGUGGCGAAAGGCGGGGUCUCUGGGCCGGAACUGACGCUGAGGAGCGAAAGCGUGGGGAGCGAACAGG